rnacentral:lncRNA from 1 species
GGUGAUAUUAAGAUUUGUUUCAGAAAUCUCAGGAACAUUAAUGACAGAGGUUACUUAUUUCUCUAUUUUCUGUUUUUAAUAUUAGCAAUCCUAACUCAAGUAGUUGAUCAUUGCAACUUGCCAAUCAAGAUCACAGGCUAAGAGAGUAUGAAAUUGUUCCUUGCUUAAAGGUAAGAAAAGAGUAGCAGAGUCAUAUCGAAAAAGUGUCUUCUUUAUGCCCUACUGAAGGGAGUGAAGUUGGGGGAGGAACUCCUUCCUGUUGUUCUGCUUUCUGUGUUCCCUUUUCCUUUAAAUUUUCCGAAUUCCCUUCAGGUGAAGAAAAUGGGCAAUCUGACUCACCACGAUCUGGCAUAUAAAGAGGGUACAACACAGAACAUGCCAGAAUCCAGGUGAUCAAAACGGUAACAUUAGUAAAAUGGCCCUGCUCAAAUCCUCUUUUCAGGCAGCAAUCUGCCUGCUCCCAUAACUCUAAGUUUAAUGUUCCUUGGUCAGGGAAACAAGGGCAUUCCUGCUGAAUUAAAAACAUAAGCUUAUGCAAAGCUUCAGA